rnacentral:rRNA from 2 species
GGACUACUGGGGUUUCUAAUCCUGUUUGCUCCCCACGCUUUCGUGCCUCAGUGUCAGUGUUGGUCCAGGUGGCCGCCUUCGCCACAGAUGUUCCUCCCGAUCUCUACGCAUUUCACUGCUACACCGGGAAUUCCACCACCCUCUACCGCACUCUAGCGAGCCAGUAUCCAAUGCCAUUCCCAGGUUGAGCCCGGGGAUUUCACAUCAGACUUAACUCACCACCUACGCACGCUUUACGCCCAGUAAUUCCGAGUAACGCUUGCACCCUUCGUAUUACCGCGGCUGCUGGCAC